UCCCUGGUGGUCCAGUGGUUAGGACUCUGCAUUUCCACUGCAGAGGCCAUGGCUUCAAUUCCUGGUCAGGGAA